rnacentral:sRNA from 1 species
CCCACGGCUUACGCCGUGGGCUACUGUCUGUCUUUCGCCCCUCCGGGGCU